rnacentral:lncRNA from 1 species
GUCAGAGUGAUGCAGUAUGAGAAAGGUCCUACCAACCAGUGUUGGCUUUGAGAUUGAAUGUAUGCCUGAGCCAAGUAAUGUGGGCAGCUUCUAGGAGUUGGAAAAAACAAAACUGAGCCUCCAGUAGAGCCUCCAAAAGGGGAUUUGGUUCUGCCUAUAUCUUGAUUUUUAGCUCAGUGAGAUCCAUUUCUUACUUCUUCCCUCCAAACUGGAAGAGAAAGCAAUGGUUCCCUCCAGCUGAAGCACAUGCAACUUGGAAGACCCUCACUCACCACCUUCAUCCUCCACUUCCUCUGCCAGAAAGGUCGCGCUAUCCCACUGCCACCUCUGCUGCCACCUCCUCUGCCAUCACUGCCUCCGCCACCACUUCCUUGGCUCCACAGCCUCUUUCAAGGUUCAAUCCACUUGCUUUCAGCAAUAUCAAGGGAAUUGAAGAGUAAAGGAGAUUGAGGCAGCACACAUUGCAGCAUCGCUCUGCCUCUUUGGGAGAGAGUUUACCCUGGAGGUAAGCAGAGUAUAAAUGGAAAGAUCAAGGCUGUGGAAUCCCAUCUAGUCAUGCAUGUCGUGUCCUUGGAAAACUACCUAACUUUUCUAAUCUCAUCUAUGAAAUGAAUGAAACAAUUGCAAACAUACUAGGUUGUUGUAAGCUGAAAACAAAUGCUAUCGACUGGAUGUUUGUGUCCUCCCAAAUUCCUAUGCUGAGGCCCUCACCCCAACGUCAUGGUAUUUGGAGGCAAGGCUUUUGGGAAGUAAUUAAGUUUAGAUGAGGUCGUGAGGGGGGCCCCAUGAUGGGAUUAGUGACUUUAUAAGAAGAGGAGCAGACCACAGCUUGUUUACUCUCUGCCAUGUGAGACCACAGCAAGAAGGACACAGCUGUCUGCAAACCAGGAACUGAAUCAGCCAGCACCUUGAUGCUGGACUUCCCUGCUUCCAGAACUGUGGGAAAUACAUGUCUAUUGCUGGAGCCAUACAGUCGAUGGUUUUUGCUAUAGUAAGCAAGCAAGUAAUGAAGUAAAGCAAUGAAGUAAGGUUUGGAAAGGAUAAGAAGAAGUAGAAGGCUCCUUUUCUUGAAUUUUAU